UCUUCCCCGCCACCUUUUAGGCCCCUCUCUAGGAAUCUGUACUCCUUCCCUUUAACCCUUGGAGUGUCUCUGCCCAGGAAGCAGCAGGAAAGGGGGAAAUCUCUCCUUCCUCCUCGUCAUCUUCGCCAGUCCGGAGAGAAGAACAGCAGAGGGAGGCAUUUGCUAAAGAGACCGGAAGCAGGCUCUCUCCGAGUGGGGGCUCUUUUCCCUCCACCACCCCCGGUCCUUCAAGCCCUUUCCCGCCUUGCCUUGCCUUGCCUUGCUUCGUGUCCUGCUGCUGCACCCCAGCUGCACUUUGAGGACCCUGGGAGGGAGCUGCUGUGCUGCGGCUGCAGGGAGAAGCAGAGUUUUGCAUAUAAAUUAUUUGCUGGUAUCUAAACUGCAGUAACUUCCACCCUGACAAGGACUCAUUGGCCUUGUGAGACCAAGCAGUGACAUUUCUUGGCAAUUCCUGGGAAUUAAAGUGGUAUUGAAGGAGAGAUUUGGGCCAUGUUAGGAGCUUGAUUUGAGCUCCGAGAGAAAAUGGAUUUGCAGAACCCCGCAAACAAUGAAUUGUGGAAGAGAGCAGAAAAAGACCCUGGAGCCAUCCCGCCUGGGGGUGACAGGAAUUGGGAAAUAACCAUGCAGAGGAUCCAGGGAGGCGCCAGCACCAACUCAGAUGUCCAGCGCUGGAGAUUCAGGCAGUUCCGCUACCAGGAUGCUGAGGGACCCCGAGAGGUUUGCAGCCGACUCCACCACCUUUGCUGUCAGUGGCUGAAGCCAGAGAGACAUACAAAAGCUCAGAUGCUGGACCUGGUAAUCCUGGAGCAGUUCCUGACUGUCCUGCCCCCGGAGAUGGAGAGCUGGGUCAGAGAAUGUGGAGCAGAGACCAGUUCCCAGGCAGUGGCCCUGGCAGAAGGUUUCCUCCUGAGCCAGGCAGAAGAGAAGAGGCAGGAGGAGCAGCCGGCACUGGGUAUGUUAGCUAACGUGGCCACUGAUCCCCUGCGGCCAGAGAAGGCUCCAUCAGACACCAGGCAGAGGCUGCUACUCAGGGGGUUCAUGAGGAAGGAGGAGGAGGAGGAUAGAGGAACCACCUCACUGGGCAGUGAAAUGACUCUGGAGAUUCCUUCUAGGCCUUCUCUUCUUGGUGGUGGAGUGGAAGGGGUUGCUGUGCAGUCACUGGAUCUGGGACCGGUGAGCUUUGAGGAGGUGGCUGUGUGUUUCUCCGAGGAGGAGUGGGCUCUGCUGCAUCCAGGCCAAAGAGUUCUGCACAGAGAAGUCAUGGAGGAGACUUCUGGGCAUCUGGCCUCUCUGGGUAAUCAGAGGAAGAACAGAAAAAAGCAGGAAGCAUCAAGACGAAAACCCGAAGAAACAGAGGAGGAGGAGAUGGCAGCUUCUGAGUGGACCGACUUCUAUGCAAUUCCAGUUCAAGAUAAGACUAGUAACAACACUCUAAGCGGAAACACUUUAAAUAAUAAAUCACACCUUAGUGCACAUCACACCACCCAUAGAAGAGUGAAAACAUAUCAAUGCACAAUGUGUGGGAAUGGCUUCAGCGAUCAGUUGAACUUUGAUGAACACCAAAGAACCCACACAGGAAAGAAACCAUGCUUGGAGUGUGGAAAGUGCUUCAGUCACGACAGUGCCCUUGCUGGCCCCCAGUGUGUCUGCAAAGGAGAGAAACCAGAUACAUGCUCCAAGUAUGGAAAGAGCUUCAGUGGCAGAGAUAAGCUUCCUUCCCAUCAAGGUCACCACACAGGAGAGAAACCCUAUACAUGCUCAGUGUGUGGGAAGACAUACUGUCGGAAGGAUAAACUUUCUGCCCAUCAAAGGAUCCAUACAGGGGAGAAACCGUAUACAUGCUCAGAGUGUGGAAAGAGUUUCCGUCGGAAGGACAUACUUUCUGCCCAUCAAAGGAUCCACACAGGGGAGAAACUAUAUACGUGCUCAGAGUGUGGAAAGACUUUCAGUUGGAAGAGCCAGCUUUCUGCCCAUCAAAGAAUCCACACAGGGGAGAAACCGUAUACAUGCUCAGUGUGUGGGAAGAGUUUCAAUUUGAAGUGCAAUCUGUCUGUCCAUCAAAGAACCCACACAGCAGAGGGACCAUGGUUGGAGUGUGGAAGGUGCUUCAGUCAUGACAAUGCCCUUGCUGUCCCCCAGUGUGUCUGCAAAGGAGAGAAACUAGAUACAUGCUUCACAUACGGAAAGAGCUUAAGCGAUGGAGAUAAGCUUCCUUCCUACCUAAGUCGCCAGACAGGAGAGAAACCCUAUAUAUGCUCAGAGUGUGGGAAAAGCUUUAGACAGAAGGGCCAGUUUUCUGUCCACCAGAGAAUCCACACAGGGGAGAAACCAUAUACAUGUUCAGCUUGUGGAAAGAACUUCAAUCGCAACUCUAACCUUACUCUCCAUCAAAGAAUCCAUACAGGAGAGAAACCAUACACAUGUUCAGAGUGUGGAAAGAUCUUCAGUUAUGUCUCUAACCUUACAGUCCAUCAAAGAAUCCAUACAGGAGAGAAACCAUAUACAUGCUCAGAGUGUGGAAAGAGCUUCAGGCAGAAAGACAAACUUGAUGUCCAUCAACGAAACCACACAGGGGAUAAACCAUUUACAUGCUCAGAGUGUGGAAGGAGCUUCAGUCGGAAGGACAAGCUUUCUGUCCAUCAACGAAACCACACAGGGGAAAAACCAUAUUCAUGCUCAGUGUGUGGAAAGAACUUCAAUGAGAAGCGCCAGCUUUCUGCCCAUCUAAGAAUCCACACAGGGGAGAAACCGUAUACAUGCUCAGAGUGUGGAAAGAGCUUCUAUGAAAAGCGUCAGCUUUCUACCCAUCAAAGAAUCCACUCAGGGGUUAGACCGUAUACAUGCUCAGAGUGUGAAAAGUGCUUCUAUGAGAAAGUGCAGCUUUCUGUCCAUCAAAGAAUCCACACAGGAGAAAAACCGUAUACAUGCUCAGAGUGUGGAAAGAGCUUCAGUCGGAAUGGGAGGCUUUCUACCCAUCAGAAAAUCCACACAGGGGAGAAUAUGUACACGUCCUCAAGAGUGCGGAAAGAGCUUCAGUAGGAAGAACUAUCUUUCUGCCCAUCAAAAUAUCAACACAGGGUAGAAACCAUAUACCUGCUCAGAGUGUGGAAACAGCUUCGGCUACAACUAAAACCUUACCUGCCAUUAGGGAUGUGCAUGGAACCGGUUCGGCACUCCCUUCCUGGAGCCUACCUGUCAGCCCACGCCCUGCUACCUGUCAGCUCCCUUCCUGGAACGCUGAACCAGUUCCGUCCACUGGCGUUCAAACCUUUUUGGAGGGCAGGGGUGCCUACCUGUCAGACCUCGCCUUUCCCCCCAAUGGCGGUCUCCAGAAAAGAGUUCCUGCUUGCAGCCCCAGCAGGUAAAGAGCGCCUUCCCUGUCAUUUAAAGCAACCCCCCCCCCGUCCUCCCAGGAGUGCACGAAUUGGUUCUCUGCACAUCCCUACUUCCCGGGACAUAAUCCACACAGGGGAGGAAACAUAUACAUGCUCAGAGUGUGGAAAGAGCUUCAGUGGCAACUCAAGCCUUACCUCCCAUUACAAAGUCCACACAGGAGAGAAACCAUCUAAAUGCUAAGAGCAGAGAAAGAGCUUUUUUCAGUGGAGAAAACUUACUUUGCACUUAAAAAAAAGAAUCCUUACAGAAGAGAAACCAUAUGUUUGUACAAGAAACAGAGCUUCAGGAAGGAAAAGGAAAGGUUGUGCCGUCCAGUCGGUAUUGACUCCUGGUGACCACAGAGCCCUGUGGUUUUCUUGGUAGAAUACAGGUGGGGUUUACCAUUGCCUCCCCACGAGCAGUAUGAGAGGAUGCCUUUCAGCAUCUUCCUAUAUCACUGCUGCCCAAUAUAGGUGUUUCCCAUAUUCUGGGAAACACACCAGCCGGGAUUUGAACCAGCAGCCACCUCCUCUCUAGGCAGGUCACUUCCGCGCUGGCCAAAGGUGUCAGGACCUGACUUCCCACUAAGCUGUGCGACUGCGUGUGUGCUCACAGAGCUCAACCCCUCCCUUCACAGCGAUCACGAACAGCCACUCACUCCAUUCUCUGGAGUGAUAUUAAACAUUAAACAAUAUUUAAAUAUUAAAUAUUAUAUUUAUAUUUUUAUAUUUAAUAUUUAAUAUUAAACAAUAUUUAAUUGUUGUUUUAUGAUGUUUUUAAUUGUUAAUUAUUGUUUUAUGUUUUAUAAUUUUUGUUUUAAUGAUUAAUUGAUUUGAAUGGUGUUUUAAUGUAAACCGCCCUGAGCCUUUUGGAAGGAUGGUAUAAAAGUUAUUAUUAUUAUUAUUAUUAUUAUUAAUAAUAAUAAUAAUAAUAAUAAUAAUAAAUGGGCAGAUGGGCUCCGGGGGUCCCAGCAUGCAUUGCACGGGCUCUGUAGAGUUCCCUCCUCCUUGCUCCGCUCCUUUCAGCAUCUUCCUAUAUCACUGCUGCCCAAUAUAGGUGUUUCCCAUAUUCUCGGAAACCCAAUAUAGGUGUUUCCCAUAUUCUGGGAAACACACCAGCCGGGAUUUGAACCAGCAGCCACCUCCUCUCUAGGCAGGUUACAUCCCCGCUGGGCAAAGCUGUCAGGACCUGACUUCCCACUAAGCUGUGCGGCUGCGUGUGUGCUCACAGAGCUCAACCCCUCCCUUCACAGCGAUCACGAACAGCCACUCACUCCAGUCUCUGGAGGCAAAAGGGCAGAUGGGCUCUGGGGGUCCCAGCAUGCAUUGCACGGGCUCUGUAGAGUUCCCUCCUCCUUGCUCCGCUCCACAGGCCUGAGCUGGGAAGGAAGGCUGCUGGGGACAGGGCAGGCAAGAAGGGAGGACUUGUGGACACCCCUCUCCCUCCCCAACCCUGUCCUUGAGAGGCUGCGGCCUGUAGAGCCUUCCUGAUUGGCUGCUCCAGGCUCCCUGAAGGAGGUCAGCACUGGGAGGACGGGGGAAUUUAAAGAGCAACAUUGGUCUCCAACUUGGUGGGGAAGGAAAGGAGUGUAGCUAGAGGGAGUGUGUGUACAGACCAUGUUCUUUUUCUCUCUGGAAACGGUUAUCCCAAAUGACAGACUAAAGGCUGGUUGAGAGUAGCUUCAAGGGGGCUUACUCCCAAAGUACGUGUGCACAGAACUUUCAGUACCACUACCAUUGGAGUUUCCAGUUCGUAUAUUCAGGGUGAGUUCCUGUAAGUUCCUUUUCUUACAGGAAGCCCUUCACCUACUUGAGUCACCAACAGAAGCUCUCCUCCUAUUGACUCAGGGAAGACUCUUCGAGGCAUUUGAUGUGAAAGGAAGUCCUCCUAUAUCAGUGAAAUCUCCCUUUGAUGAAUUUAGAUGCACCAUUACCUAAAAGCAAGUAUUUCGCUAUAGCCAGGCUGUGUAUUGCAUCCCCCUCCCCCCGUGGGUAUUUAGGUAGUUACAGGCACAGCGGAGCCACUUAAAGGUGCAGCAGGGAAGAAACUUCCGUAGGGAGCAAGAGGUUGCCGGUUCGAAUCCCCACUGGUACCUAUAUUGGGCAGCAGCAAUAUAGGAAGAUGCUGAAAAGCAUCAUCUCAUACUGCACGGGCAAUGGAAAACCCUUCCUGUAUUCCACCAAAGACAACCGCAGGGCUCUGUGGCCACCAGGAGUCGACACUGACUCGACGGCACACUUUACUUUACAGGUACAGCAGAAGAGUUUGCAGAUCAGUGUUCUUUCCACUUUUGCAUUUCCCUCUCUCUCCUGUCUAUAAUGAAUCUUUUCACCAAAAAUUCUACUAUUCGCAAGCCAUCACCUGAAAUAUCUGAGCCAUUUUGUGGAUAUGAGGAGAUCCUGCCUCACUGCAGGGAUUCCUGAAACCUUCAGAUCCCAUCCAGGAUUCUGUGCAAUGAAGUAUGCUGGGUGGGGCUUUAACCUCAAGUGUGUGGAGCACAAAGUGUAGCACCAUCGUAAACUCAGUCAGCGCACUGCUGCCCAUGAAUGAUCCAGUCUUUUUCCAGCCAGUAUUACUGUUUUUAAACAGAAGUGUAGUUUGCACUUUUAAACAACUGUUUGUUUAGGUAUUGUUCAGGUCAUUGUGAUGCUAAACUAAAUGCAUGACAUUCUUAGCUAAGUGUAUACAAUCUCAAUGUAGGACAUUCUUAUCUGCCAAACCUUUUUUAAAGGCCUUGUUACAGAUUCUGCCUUGUUUUUAUUAUACUUAAAUAUGAAACGGAAAAAAGUAAAAAUGCAAUUUUAUAAAUAGAAUAGAA